rnacentral:rRNA from 1 species
GUGUCAGCAGCCGCGCGGUAAUACGGAGGGUGCAAGCGUUACUCGGAAUCACUGGGCGUAAAGCGCGCGCAGGCGGCUAGAUAAGUUGGAAGUGAAAUCCUAUGGCUCAACCAUAGAACUGCUUCCAAAACUGUUUAGCUAGAGUCUGGGAGGGGAAGAUGGAAUUAGUAGUGUAGGGGUAAAAUCCGUAGAGAUUACUAGGAAUACCAAAAGCGAAGGCGAUCUUCUGGAACAGUACUGACGCUGAGGCGCGAAAGCGUGGGGAGCAAACAGGAUUAGAUACCCUGGUAGUCCACGCCCUAAACGAUGAAUGUUAGUCGUCGGGACUCUAGUAGUUUCGGUGAUGCAGUUAACACAUUAAACAUUCCGCCUGGGGAGUACGGUCGCAAGAUUAAAACUCAAAGGAAUAGACGGGGACCCGCACAAGUGGUGGAGCAUGUGGUUUAAUUCGAAGAUACGCGAAGAACCUUACCUAGCCUUGACAUAUUUUAGAACUCCGCAGAGAUGUAGAGGUGCCUUCGGGAGCUAAUAUACAGGUGCUGCACGGCUGUCGUCAGCUCGUGUCGUGAGAUGUUGGGUUAAGUCCCGCAACGAGCGCAACCCUCGUUCUUAGUUACUAACGGUUCGGCCGAGGACUCUAAGAAGACUGCCUUCGUAAGGAGGAGGAAGGUGAGGACGACGUCAAGUCAUCAUGGCCCUUACGGCUAGGGCAACACACGUGCUACAAUGGUUAGGACAAUGAGACGCAAUACCGCGAGGUGGAGCAAAUCUAUAAACCUAAUCUCAGUUCGGAUUGUAGUCUGCAACUCGACUACAUGAAGCUGGAAUCACUAGUAAUCGUAGAUCAGCUAUGCUACGG